rnacentral:rRNA from 1 species
ACGCUCGACACCUACGGGAGCAGCAGUCGGGAAUAUUGCGCAAUGGAGGAAACUCUGACGCAGUGACGCCGCGUAUAGGAAGAAGGUUUUCGGAUUGUAAACUAUUGUCGUUAGGGAAGAGAAAGGACAGUACCUAAGGAGGAAGCUCCGGCUAACUACGUGCCAGCAGCCGCGGUAAUCUGAGGCGGGCUGGCAAGGC